GAAUAUUGGACAAUGGGCGCAAGCCUGAUCCAGCCAUGCCGCGUGUGUGAAGAAGGCCUUCGGGUUGUAAAGCACUUUUGUACGGGAAGAAAAGCACUCGGUUAAUACCCGGGUGUCAUGACGGUACCGUAAGAAUAAGCACCGGCCACAUUCGUGCCAGCAGCCGCGGUAAUACGAAGGGUGCAAGCGUUGUCCGGAUUUAUUGGGUUUAAAGGGUGCGUAGGCGGCCAAUUAAGUCAGUGGUGAAAUCCUUCCGCUUAACGGGAGAACUGCCAUUGAAACUGGUUGGCUUGAGUACGGUUGAAGUAGGCGGAAUUUAUGGUGUAGCGGUGAAAUGCAUAGAUACCAUAAAGAACACCGAUAGCGUAGGCAGCUUACUAAGCCGUAACUGACGCUGAGGCACGAAAGCAUGGGGAGCGAACAGG
rnacentral:rRNA from 1 species